CUUAUUGCUUAAUAAAAUGAUUCAUGUAGCUAUUUCAGUCACCCUGAUUCUUGUUUAGUAUCUUAUAGUGGUUUUGCUUAUCAGACAGGCCCCACUGUAUACUGUAGUAGAACUGUCUUUGAGGAUGCAACUCACGAGUUGGUCAGAGAUUUCUUCUGGGAUGAUGAGUUUCGACCUAAAUGGGAUCCAAUGCUUACAUAUUGUAAGAUAUUGGAGGAAUGCCCUCAGACUGGAACUACGAUUGUUCACUGGAUUAAAAAGUUCCCUUUUUUCUGCAGUGAUCGGGAAUAUUUAAUUGGUCGAAGAAUAUGGGAGGCUGGAAAAACUUAUUAUUGUGUGACAAAGG